rnacentral:lncRNA from 1 species
GUGAUUUCAGUUUCAUAAUACCAUUGAAAAGUAUUGAAUUUGCUUUAAAUGCCUUAUAAAAUAUUAUGAAAUCCAUCUUUGCUGGUCUUUAGUGGCUCAUGAAAUUUCAUCCCUUAUUAAAUUUUUUUGCCUCCAAUUAUUAAUUUCAGUUAUGAAAGCUUCUUGAUUAAUAUUUGGAGUUCUGAGGUUUUACAGAUUUACACUGCUAUGUGUAUUGUAUUGCAGUCAUUUUAUUGAGGGAGCCAGACAGGGUAACUGAAGAAAUGUAAAUUUAUGACUUAUUAGAUCAUUUUUAUUUUAAGAAGUGCAGAACUGCAAAUACACCAGAAAACAUGGAUUUAUUAUUUUUUUCUUGAUAGCCUUUUGAUGGGACUCUGCUAAAUACAGUUUUUAAAGGGAAGAGGGUUUUACCAUUUUUUGCUUGUGUUGGAUAAAACUUCCAGAAAGUCUGUUAUGGAGGGGAUUAUUUGUGUGGUUGAGUUUGAAUAUCUGGGGUGAAAAAGAGGAUUUUUUUCUGAUGCUACUUUAUUUUUCCACGUAGGGCUUGAAUUCUCAUUAGAGGACUGCCUACCUCUGGAUCCACACCUGUGUCCCAACCCACAAGGUGACACCCUGGGCUGGGGGCUGCCCCCAGGUGCCCUCAGCCUGCCCAGCAACCUGGCAAUUCUGGACACCCUGGAGAACUCCACAGUUCCCUGGCCUAAAACCUCAGGAUUUUUUCAUGGCCUCAAGAGAUAAGAGGGCUGCCAUGACCACGGCAGGAUGUUCACUGUGUAAAUGAGACCAGAUGGGAGGAUGAGCACAUCUUAUGCAGAUUAUAAGCUGUUUUCCCUUGAGCUAACUGGAUGUGAAAUAAAACAGAUCCAGGAAAACCCUUGUUGGUGAGGGGUUAGUGAAGGUGGACAGCCCAUGUGCCUUCAGCAGAGAGAAAAAGGGUGUGUACUGAGAACUCCGGGAAAGAAAAACAAGAACUGGCUUCACUCUGCCAAUAUUCCUAAAAAUGAGAAAAGAGAAGCAGAAGUAAGCAAUGUGUCAGCCCUGAACAUUGACUUACGAAUGAGGGCUUGACCUGCAGAGUGCUGGGUGAAGGGUGGGGAUCCAAGGUCUCACAGGAGCCCUGCAGGGAGUGAAUCACAACCUGAGCAUGAGUCAACAGAACCUGCCUGUUGUGAAAAUGUUAAAUGUCAACACAAGAGUGUUUACACAGAACUGUAACUUAUAAAAUGCAUGAAGCAAUUGUUAAGUUGCACUCAGCACUAGUAAGGCCUCAGCUAGGCCAGUGUGUCAAAUGUUAAGCAAUUUUUUUUCCUCUUCAAGGGAAAUGUGGUGCAGCUGGAUGGCAGCCAAGCAGAGAGAAUCAAGCAGAGAGAGUUGGAAGAACCUGUCCUGUCCUCACAGGUCACAGAUUAUGUAGUGUUCAGUGUGAACAACAGAAGACCAAAGACAACACAGAAAUUCAGUUUUCUGUAAGAAAUAUAUUUUGCAAAGAAGAUGGGAUUUAUCCAUAUAAGUAGGACAAGAAUAAUAGACUUAAUUGAGGUUUGAGAGAAUUAAGUUAGAUAUCAGGGAAAACAUUCUAGUCACAGGAAUGGUUACUAGGAGAGAGAGAUGGUCUGAAGAAGCUGCAAAAACCUCUGAGGGAUUUUUAAAGACUGUUUUAAAUAAGUAGAGGUCAGGAAAACAUUGGGGGAGAUGCACGAUGUGAGUUUUGGGGCUCCUUCUCAUUCUGCCUCUGCAUGGUUCCCAGCUUGCGAGGACUGAACUUGGCUGAUGCCCAGUUUUGCCCAUAGACUAAUUCCAAACUGGUGGUACUGGGCACACUGGUCAGUGCUCAUCAAACCACAGACAGAAAUACUCUCAAUUCCACCAACAGAAGCUUUUAUGUAGGGUGGGCUGAACUCCGAUAAAAUCCUGUGAAUUAAACCCUGUUGCACUGAAGUGACACUGAUUUCAGAAUUUCAUUCUGUGACAAAUCCAAACUUGGGAUUUUCUAGUCUUCAUGUCUAUCUUGGGCAGCUAAAUGAAUGCAACCCUGCUAAUACUCCCUGUGCAUUAGGUGAAGUAAAUCCUCUCUUGGCAAUUAUCUGAAGACACCUAUUGAGCUCAAUGAGAAACAGCAGCUCAGGCAACUGGAGCACAGAGCACAUUGUCAUGCUUAUGCAAAACUUGCUUCCCGUGCCCAAAGGCUGUUUGUUCCUUCCUGCUCUGUGCUGUGGAUGGUAGCACAGCUUAGCACCUCAGCUGUCAGAGGGGGAGUAGCACAGAUGAGAGAAGCACAUCUCAAGCUCCUGUUCCUGAUCUCCUGUGGAUGCCCAGGCAUGACUUGGCGACAGAAAGAGUUACAAAGCAAGUAAACAUCUGCCCCAAAUCCAGGGGGAUCUCCCAUAGUCAAGGACAUAUCCAGUCCCUUCACACAGUUCCCAAAAGAGUUGUACUACACUGGAGGGGAAGCCCUGUGGCAGAGGGGAGAUGGGCUCUGCUUUGCCUAUCACUCUCCCAGGCCAAAGUGUGCAGCCAGGAUAGACAGACAAAUCCUUCUCUCCCCAUGUAAUGUAUAUAACUUACUUCAUACAUCCAGAUUUCUCUCCUCACUACUAUUAUAUAGUGGCCCACAGACUGUUCUUCCAGCCCUACAUUUUCCAGGACAGGAAGAUAGGUUAUUUAACAGCAACAGAAAGAGCUGAGAUUGAAUUAUCCUCUGUCCAGGUGUCAGAGCAGACUUUUAAUAAUUCACAAAGACCCCAUAUAGAAAUUGGAUGGAUGAGGCUGACUGGGAUUUGCACCUUUCCUCAGCAAGGCAAAGGGGCUGCCCUGCAGGGCAGGGGCAGCUGCUAUGUGAAGACAUUUUAUAACCCAGGAAAAUGCCAUUCACCUGCUAAAAUAUAUUAAGCAGAAACUUGGAGAAAGAAGAAAAGACAUUAAAAUUUUAAAAAUUCCAGGGGACAUGUAUAAAUACCCCAUGUUCUCCAAUAAGAACAGAGGGAGUUUAUUGUCUAAUACAACUGGGUCAAAAGGAAGUCAAGAGGCAAGCCCAAACCUCCAACUUUUCGGGCUUCAGCAGCUCUUUUCCUUCACCUCUGCAUUUCUGUCAUCAGACUGGUUCUGCUUACAAUGAAGUUUGGAAUCACUUUUUCUAUUUUACUGUGUUUGUGUUUAUUUCUCCUCUGCUUAUCCUUCUAUUUGCUCGGCUUUUUUUGUUAACUAAUACUGUUGUUCCAGUUUCAUCUACCACCCCAGUCAUGCUGGGAAGCAAAACAAGUUGCUUAAUUGCAGUGCAGUACCCAGCAGGACACUUUCCCUUCCAUAUAAGAGGUUGCUCUUAUUUGCUUUGCUCAUUUAAGUUCUCAGCAGAGAGGACAAGAAGGGACAUGGAGCUCCUCACUCUGCUGGCAAAUGGUCCAUGAAAAUGGUUAGAGAGGGGCACUGAGGGGAGCCCACACUGCUUCAUGAGCGCUGUGGCUGUGCCUUGGUCCCAGCACUGUCAGCUCACCAGCUUUCAUUGGUGAUAUUCACACGUGCAUGUGAAUGCUCCUAUGAAAACAGCAGCAGCCAAAGGUUUUAAGGAUCUGCUAAUGUUUUAAGGUGUUGUUAAGGUAAGAUCUUUUAAAAGACCACCUCCUUUCUGAAUCUGGUGAGCUCACAUUUUCAGAAAAUUGGCACUGAUACGGUCCAGUUAGGGAGCACAGGGUGCACAGCAGGUCACUUCAUCUGCCUGCUUCCUGGUUCUCCAGUAUGAAUUUCUUGUCCCCUGGAUAACUGCUUGAACUAAAGAGUUGCUGAGCUGUCAGGUUCACAUAUUUUCUUUUUUCUUUUUUUUUUUUCUUUUUAACCUAAUGAGGCUGGAUUUAUUUUUAACGUUCCUUAUUACCAUCCACUUCUGACUUCCAUCCAUCUACUGCUGAGUACAUGCUGCUCUUGCCAAAGCAAGUGUCUUCAGCAGCUCUGUGAGCCCCUGGAGCUGCACUGCCCUGCAGGGGAUCACAUUUGCCACCCUUGUCCCUUCUAUUAAUUCCAUGGCAGCGCAUGCUGCUCGCCUGCCUUGUUCAGUGCUCUCAUGCUAAUUACCGUGCAACCAGUUGUUAUUUCUUUCAUAACCAUUACCAGAGCUGCCUGUUGUUAAUAAUUCAGGGUUAAUUACUUACUAAAAAGUUUAGCAGAACGAUUUAGCUUCACUUAGCCUGUUCAUUGACGAAGGCUAUAAAUGUCUGCAGUCUAUCACUGAUAGAGCCAUUAUUGGAGUUGGGUAUAAUUGGCUUUUACUGAAGUGCUGCAGCAAAAAUGAGGGUUAGUCCAACUGUCUGCUUGUACACCUCCUGCUUGGUUUUCCAUCAGAUUUUGGGCAACCACUUGGGAAGAGAAGUGCCACAAUAAUUUAGCAGGUUUUUUUACAUGUCUAUUCACAUUGCAGACGUGUGCAGUGCAGACAGAGCUACAGAAGUGCUGAAGCCUGGCAUUAAAACAGACAUCACGACAGCUGCAAAGUGUCCAGCUUCUCAAUUAGGGCUGAUCUAUCACAAAAUACAUUUUAGUGGGGAUAGGCAUACCUACAACAAGGUUUAGAAGAUUGUGUUCUCUUUGAUUUAUGGAAAAGGUGGGAGGAAAAAUUGACAAGAAGAAGAAUCAUUAAAGGUAAUAAUGCCUCUUCUGUCAGUUUUCUCUGGUCUGGGAGGCUCCUGUUCCCUUAAUUUCUGAAUCUAGGAGCUGUUACAGACAGAAGGCUCUCAGAAAUGAAUGAGAACUGGGACCCCUUUCAGCAACAAGCUCUUUCUGACUGUGUAGUCAGAGUGCCCAUCUGAUCCCUAGUAGCAGAAGAAAGGCCACAUGCUGCCUUCCAAGGGAAGGUGGGGUUUAUUUGCACUCCUUUAGAGCAAAACUGGACUCUGGAAAAUCUACCCAGCCUUCUGAUUUUACCUACAUUCCAGCAUUUGCAGUGACUUGGGUUGACUGGGUGUAUUUUGGUACUGUGGAUUUCACUCAAAUGAACAAUCCUCACAACAUGAGAGGGCUGGGCAACAGAUCAUCAGCAGCCUUUGGCUGCCCUGGGCAAAGACAAGCACAUGAAACUAAGACAGUUUCCCUCUUAGACACUUGAAAAUCCAGAAUAGCACUGCCUUCACCUUUGGGUGCUUAAGUGUCCUAAAUAUGCCUACAUAUCUUCAUAUUAAAUUAUGGGCAAUAAUGUAAUUAAUUGUCCCCUGACCUUCAGUCUCUUCACUGAGGCAGUGUCACUGAACUGUAUUUUAUGUCACUAGGUGACAGCAGAUGUAAAUUAACUAUCUGCCUCCUCUGGAAUAUAUAAAAAGAGAGGAAAUGAAAUGAGAAUUCAAGGAAUGAUGUGAAAUGAAAAGGCAAGAAAGGAAAAAGAAUGAAAUGAAAUUUUAAAAAAUUCUUAGGAGAAGUUAAAUUGUUGGUAUUAACUGCAGUGCAGUGAAAUGAACUGAAACUUACUGAAAUUAUACUCCUUGGAAUCUUGUGAUUUCAUUUCAUGAAAAGAAAUUAAAUGAGGAAUAAAGGCAUGAAGUUAAAUGAAAAUACAGGAAAGGAAAUAGAAUGAAGUAGAAUUGAAUAUAUAUAAAAAAGAAAAUACUGAAUUGAAGGGGAGAUAAUGGAAUGAAAUGAAGUGGAGUGAAAUGGAUUAAAACAAAAUUAUACUUGUUCAAAUAUUGAGAUUUCAUUUCAUGAAAGUAAAUGAAGAAUUUUUUAUUUAAUGAAAGAAAAUGAAAUAAGAAACCAAGGCAUGAAGUGAAAUUAAAAGACAGAAAAGGGAAUAGAAUAAAAUUAAGUAAAUUUGUAAAAAAAAUAUUCUGAAAUAAAGUAAAAAGAAUGGAAUGGAAUGGAAUGGAAUGGAAUGAACUGAAUCUUGCUGACAUGGUACUCAAUGAUAUCUCGAGAUAUAAUUUCAUGAAAGGAAAUAAAAUGAGAAAUCGAGGAAUGAAGUGAAAUGAAAAGAUAGGAAAGGAAAAAGAAUGAAAUGUAAUGCAAUGCAAAAAAAAA